GGCGUCAGUGAGGGGCUAUCUCGAGGCGCGAGUGCACAAAAGGUAGCGCGAGUCUCUUCUCAGGCGAUCCAGAUAAGAGGAAAUGAGAGCCGGGUUUUCUGACUUCCAACUCAUUAGGGACCAGGUUCUUUUUCUUCAGGAUCAGGCACAGAGACUGACUGAAUGGCUCCAAUUAUCAGGAUUUGAAAACCCAGUAUCAGAAUCUACCACUUUGUAUGGAGGAGGGGAGGAGACGAGUGGGGACCAGCUUGACAUCCAGUCUUCACCUGGACAUAUGGAAAGAACAAAUGUGCGAUCUGCUCGUUCCCUCUGAAGGUCUCUGUUACGUAUUUCCUCCUCUCCUCCAGAGCAUAAUAACCAAUGACUGCUCUCAGAAAGGCCUGAGGGAGAGGGAAAAGCGGAUACCCACCUGUGUCGCUGUUUGCGUGCCAAGUCCAGGAACAGUCCAUACAGCCCUGCUGCAUCCCACGACGCUGUCACAAAGCAGGAGUUCAUCCGAGGCCAAGGUGUUGUCAUGAGAAUAUUCGUUAAAAUGGAGAAACUGAGGCCCAGAAAUUGAUGUCCAGAAUGCUUUGCUCUUAGCCACUGUACUAUUAUGGCAUAUUUUAUCUUUAUGUAUUGCAUCAUUUCAUGGAUUCAAGUUUAUCAAUGUCCUUUGACAAGUUUAAAAAUCUGUCUGCUAAAAUCUAUCCAA
rnacentral:lncRNA from 1 species